AUUGAACGCUGGCGGCAUGCCUUACACAUGCAAGUCGAACGGCAGCACGGGAGCAAUCCUGGUGGCGAGUGGCGAACGGGUGAGUAAUAUAUCGGAACGUGCCCAGUCGUGGGGAUAACGUAGCGAAAGCUACGCUAAUACCGCAUACGAUCUAUGGAUGAAAGCGGGGGAUCGCAAGACCUCGCGCGAUUGGAGCGGCCGAUAUCAGAUUAGGUAGUUGGUGAGGUAAAGGCUCACCAAGCCGACGAUCUGUAGCUGGUCUGAGAGGACGACCAGCCACACUGGGACUGAGACACGGCCCAGACUCCUACGGGAGGC
rnacentral:rRNA from 1 species